AGGUGAAAAUAUUCCCGACCUUCUUUUGCUUGGCCCUGAGGAAUUUAAGAGGAUUGGCACCAAACUGCAAUGCACAGCCCAGACGGUGGAAGCUGAAGCUACAGAGGUCUUGUGAGCUGAACUCAGGACACCUGAUUUCCAAUUCAACUCCAGCUUCUGGAUCCACUGCCCACUUUCAACUGAGGAGAUGUUAGAGACUGUUUGGACCCAGCAGUAAAGCAGAUUAAGUCGGAUGAUGAGUCAAGUGCCAAUUAAACUACAAUACUAUUUCAUGCUCUGG